AGAGUUUGAUCAUGGCUCAGGACGAACGCUGGCGGCGUGCUUAACACAUGCAAGUCGAACGGUAAGGCCCCUUCGGGGGUACACGAGCGGCGAACGGGUGAGUAACACGUGAGCAACCUACCUCCAACUCUGGGAUAAGCCCGGGAAACCGGGUCUAAUACCGGAUAUCAUCUCCAUCCUCCUGGGUGGGGGUUGAAAGUUCCGGCGGUUGGGGAUGGGCUCGCGGCCUAUCAGCUUGUUGGUGGGGUAAUGGCCUACCAAGGCUUCGACGGGUAGCCGGCCUGAGAGGGCGACCGGCCACACUGGGACUGAGACACGGCCCAGACUCCUACGGGAGGCAGCAGUGGGGAAUAUUGCGCAAUGGGCGAAAGCCUGACGCAGCAACGCCGCGUGAGGGAUGACGGCCUUCGGGUUGUAAACCUCUUUCAGCAGGGACGAAGCGAGAGUGACGGUACCUGCAGAAGAAGGACCGGCCAACUACGUGCCAGCAGCGGCGGUAAUAC
rnacentral:rRNA from 1 species